rnacentral:rRNA from 1 species
GAUGAACGCUAGCGGCGGGCUUAAUACAUGCAAGUCGAGGGGCAGCACGAUGUAGCAAUACAUUGGUGGCGACCGGCGGACGGGUGCGUAACACGUAUGCAACUUGCCCUAUACUGGGAGAUAGCCCGAAGAAAUUCGGAUUAAUAUCCCAUAACAUCAGGAUCAGCAUUGAUCUUGGUUCAAACCUCCGGGGGUAUAGGAUGGGCAUGCGGUCGAUUAGCUUGUUGGUGAGGUAACGGCUCACCAAGGCGACGAUCGAUAGGGGGCCUGAGAGGGUGAUCCCCCACACUGGUACUGAGACACGGACCAGACUGCUACGGGAGGCAGCAGUAAGGAAUAUUGGACAAUGGGCGCAAGCCUGAACCAGCCACGCCGCGUGAAGGAAGACGGCCCUAUGGGUUGUAAACUUCUUUUGUACGGGAAUAAACCUCCGGACGUGUCCUGAGCUGAAGGUAUCGUACGAAUAAGGAUCGGCUAACUCCGUGCCAGCCGCCGCGGUAA